rnacentral:lncRNA from 1 species
UGUUGAUCAUCAUCGUUCUCUGCGUGUGUGACCCCAAGUAAUCUCCAACCUUCAGCAUUCUCAGGAUUUUUCAUAACCUCAGCUUCUAGAGCAAGCGCUGCUUCACUCAGAAGUCCUUUGCGAAACAAUUCCUGCCCUUCUUUCAUAGGUUCCGGGUGACCCACAUAAGGAUUCAUGUCAGAGAAGACGUAUACACCACUAUUUUGUUUUUCAGCAUUUUUUUCCGUCAGAAACCUGGAGAAGCAAAUACUUUUGUUAGAUGGACUUGAAAGUCGAAGAUGCAUGUUGGUUAUAGAUAAAAAAAAACUAGGAGAUAAACAAUUAUAACCCCUGACUAACAAGGCAACGCAUCAAUGAUAAAAUGAAUUCUGAAUUUAGCGAUAGAAAAGAAUUGCAUAGUUGCCAAAUUUCGUUUAAGGAAUGCAUUUGGAGAGGGACCAUAAAAUUUGUGAACGCACAAAGCACAAUGAAAAAGACAACUUAUAAAAGAUCCAUUAAAUAAUAAUGAACUUACUCAUCAUAAGCAUUUGCCCAUGCAUCAGCCGAACUCCCACCCGCGGGCCCUUCAGCAAAUUCAUCUACCCAGUCAUCAACAUUCAACUUUGAAAACUCAUUAACCCAUUGGUCCUCAGCCGAUUCUUGCUGUCGGUUAGCGGAAGCAAACUCAUCAGCCCACUGUUCUGGUCCACGUGCAAGCUACACGCACCAAAAUAAAAAGCUUACGUUAGAUGCAGGAUGAUGCUUAUAAUCGAAAGGAAAAGAGACAAUAUGUUGUAGCUAAACUUUCUACCAUGUCAGAGACAUCAGAUUCUCUAAGUAAUAAGGAACCAUUUUACUGGAAAGAAGUGUACAGAGAAAUCUACGCUCCGCCUUUCCACUACAUUGCAUUUCUAAAAUACAAAAUGCAGGAGAUCCACUACAACAGCUAAGCUAUGCAAGAACGGAAUAACAUUAAAUCAAUUUGCACUAGCGUGCUAACAGUAGCGAGUAGACCCUAAAGCAAAAACAUACAUUUAUUAACCAGUACAUACUUUCUCAUUGGCAAAUUGAUCAGCCCAACUUGGCGGCCCCAGAUACUGCUGUUCAUAUUCAGUAGCCCAGUCCCCAGGGGAAGGUCCAGGCUUGACCUCAUUCUCAUCCAUAAUGAGUUCACCGCGGCUCAUCUUUGAAACAAACUGAAGGAAUCUUGAAUUCUGCAUUCACCAAACACAUUUUGCCAGGCUUUUAUAUAAAUCCCAAGAGAACUGCUCAGCACAACAUCCUUAAAUGCAAAACAAUCUUUUGUGAUAAAGUUUCAGAGAUCUUCAAAUUCUGGGGCACAAGCCCAAACAUCGCCCCAAGAAGUUUUCAGCAAUGGAAAGAAGGGAUCAGAACAGUCUAGGGGGGGAGGGGCCGGAAACUCAAACUAAAUUGAAUCGAAAUAUGAUAUGAAAUAAAAUGUUAUAAGUUAUGGAAUAAUAUAUGUCCUACUCUGGUACCAUGUUGGGGUGUUCCAAAUUCUUGCAUCAAAUGAAACUUAGCCACGAAAACAACAUUAUAUAUUUAUAUUAAAAACAUUAUAUAUUUAUAUUGACCCAAUGUAUAUUCAUGUAACUCCAGGUAUAGUUUGAUUGGUCCAUCAUAUUGCGGCCAUAUCUUCAACCUUGGUAUAAAUCCCCAUAUAAUUAGACCUCAUCAAACCAUGAGACUUCUAUAUAUUAAAAGGACACUUUACAGCACAGUGAUAUGAACCAAUGAUUAUACGUAUAAUACAGUAUUGAUUCAAAACCAAGUUCCUUUUCCAUCAUUGACACUACAAAAAGUAUUGAACAAAUAUAUAUGCGCAUUUCUCAGAUAAAGUUAAAUCACUUAUAUGAAAACUAUAUUCUAUUGUUUUUGUGUAUGCGACUGAACUGCGUGCUGAAAAAAAUCCAUCAGUCAUAAAAGUAAGAAAUCUUUAUAUUAAAAUGUAAGAAAAUUGAUAAGAUAUUUAAGGAACUGUAGCUACGUACUCUCAUUAGCUAUAUAGCCUAUAGGUGUAGAAUCAGACUGUGAUGGCUAUAGAGUGCGAGAUAGUUAGAACCCUACGAAGCACGUGAUGAGUUGCUCAGAACCUACUGUAACACUACUAUACUAGUUAUCGUUUCAUUGGCUAUAUUGCGACAGCUACUUCUGUUAGGCUGUACGCAAUCGGUUGGUUAAUCUGGUGAAAGUUUGGUCUGAAAAGUGUGAUAAAACAUAAUAUCUACAGUUACAUAGAAGAAUGUAAAAGAAAAAUUGUAAAUUAACAGAGCGAAUGGCUACAUGGCUUUUCAAAGCAUCUUCUAAUGUAUGCUCUUGAUUUUCUACGUUUACUUGUAUUAACUCAAUAGCCGUCUAAAACCCAAUCUAAUUAAAGUUUAAUUUCCAGUUGAAUAUAUAUUGAACUUUUCAAAUUCAAAAAAAUAUAACAUGUGUAUAUGUGUCAGUAUAGCUAUUACCGGUUGUGGUGUUUAUUGCAAGUGACGCGUGGUCGUAGGCACGCUUAAGCAUGGGACUGUCUUAGUACCUACUGUCUACAAACUCGAGCGAUCGAGCACACACACAUCAAACAUUCAAACUCAACAACAAGGUCUACUGUCUUGGGUGGCAUACGCACAUAUAUAUGUUAUCAUCAAUUAGAGUUUUAGUUGGCUCUAUAAUAAAAAGCAAUGUGUAAUCCUUGUGAACUUUAAGCAAGAAAGUUAAUUCAAGAAAGCUUCAUCAUUCUCAUUUUCUCUGAAGCUCUGCUUUAACUUUCAAUUAUUGAAUUUUUUUUUUUUUUGUUCUUAUAAAAAAAAAAGACUUUCAAUAAUUGACUGGUAUAACCUACAAUGCUUAACGUAUAACAUUAUCGGUGAAUGCUUCACCUAUGUAUAUAUGCAGCUCUCUCAAAGGGGAACGUGGUAAUAAUUAAUAAAAUUUCUUAGGUCUUGAGACGAUAACAUAUUGUUCUGGUGUCGGAGAGACCGCACUUUCGGAUACGGCAGUGCAUGGACGUCUCUUUCCACGAUUCCACUCAAAAGCCAAGUUUGUUAGCUUCUCCUAGGUCUACGUAGCUACAUCUUAUAUAAAAAUGUACCCUAAUUAAUAUUUUCGUUAUGUUUGUGGUCCACUACCUUCUUCUUCCUUUUUAUGAUUGUUACCUCUAUGGUCUUUUAGGUUUAGGUCCAUAGAGGAACCUAUUAAAUCAUCACGUUUUUGCAGGUUUUUAGUGUAUUUAGAUCCCAUGCAUAGCGUUCAAAAUAUGUAACUAGCUAGUCCACCCAUAUACACUUUUUCAAGACACAGACUAGCAAUGAUUGGCGCAACUAAAACACAGCUGAUAUUUUCAUUUUUUUCUCAACUAUUCAAACUAAACGUUACAUUGGAUUCGAAUUAGAAUUGGAAUGACAGAUCAGACACCUUCACAUCCCACCACAUUUUAUUUUGUUUCUCAGUACAUUUCUGUAAAAAUUGUAUUAGUCAGAAGAACGGGACACCACAAAACUGAAAUGAAUUCUCUUGAAGCAUUAUUAUUAGCACUUCGUGUUAUACAUUUACCUCUACAUAAUCAUGUAUUGGUAUAUCUACAACAUUACGAAUGUAAUAUUAAAUCCUUUUUCUUAUUUUUUCAAGUUCCCGUAAAAGACAUCGACUGUUUAACCGGUAAGGACCACUCCGACUUUCAAGGGUCUGAAUCGUCUAGCUUCUCUACUCAAAGCGGGAACUCUUUCUGCAAGAGAUCGAGAUUCCUUGCCUCACAAGCUUCGAUUAGGUCAUGUCUUGACGCACAGCUACAUAAAGUUUUAACAAAACUUAGAAAAGUUUCAAACGACAUAAAUAGAUUUUUCUAGUUCAGAAGCUUUGAUACAUACCUUAACGAGAGCCUCAAGUACUGCCACGCGUUAUCUGCCUUAGGAUUCAUUGCAAGGGCACGGACGUAAUAAGGGAUUGAUUCUUUGUACAUCCCCUGUUACAUACACAAUAAUAGCAUACCAAACUCACGUUAGUUCCAGUCCAAAACAUUCAUCAAACAAUUGCUUCUGAUACAAGUUACAAGAACUCGAACCUGGUUUGCGUAACUGAUCCCCAUGUUCGCCCAAGCACGAACGUAAUUAGGUUUUAAAUCCAGAGCCUGCCAGUAGAGAAACAGAACACGAAAUUUAAACAGUAAGAGACACAAUGAGCUUUGAGUUCUGUGCAUCGAAGAGUUUACCUGUUGAUAAGCAGAUAUGGCAUCAGCACUCUGGACACUGUUGGCUUGUGUUGCACCAAGCUUAUUCCAAAGAGAAUAAUCGUUUGGUUUUAACUGUAAAGCUGUUUGGAAGGAAGUAAUUGCUCUAUCGAAUUCCCUUGACAGAUUGAAGAGAACGCCUAGCACUAUAUGGACAUCGGCGUCCUCAGGAUUCAUCUGAGAAGCUUCAGUGAAUAAUCUAGCAAUCUGUUUAUACAUGGGAGAAGGAAUGGUGUUUCAAUACAACUAUGAGAUGAGAUUUGACCGAGGAGAAUUUACAAGAGGAAUGGCACUUACAUCAGCAUGGUACAGGGAAUCUGCAAGCUCUGGAGGCGCGAUUGAUCCAUACUUAGGAUGAUUUCGCAGCCAUCCGUAUAAGUACUUCAAAGCAGUUGCUUGCUCCAACUCUGUAUUUACAGAGUACAACAUAUUAGUCACCUCUAAUUCAAAAAAGUAAUCAACAAGAUAAUGUUACAAAAGCAAACGCAUAUUGGUAGGUUUCAGGCACUGACCGUUGGUAUGGCUCACCCCAAGCGCCAGAAGCACCUCUAGAUUUGAGGGAUCGGCCUCCUGUGCCCGCAUCAUUGCAGCUAUUGCCUGCAUCCACAAUAUUAAAAGAUUUUAGUAACCCUGCAAAUAACGGUUCAGGCAAAAUUAAUCUUAGUAACCUGUUGAUCAUCAUCGUUCUCUGCGUGUGUGACCCCAAGUAAUCUCCAACCUUCAGCAUUCUCAGGAUUUUUCAUAACCUCAGCUUCUAGAGCAAGCGCUGCUUCACUCAGAAGUCCUUUGCGAAACAAUUCCUGCCCUUCUUUCAUAGGUUCAGGGUGACCCACAUAAGGAUUCAUGUCAGAGAAGACGUAUACACCACUAUUUUGUUUUUCAGCAUUUUUUUCCGUCAGAAACCUGGAGAAGCAAAUACUUUUGUUAGAUGGACUUGAAAGUCGAAGAUGCAUGUUGGUUAUAGAUAAAAAAAAACUAGGAGAUAAACAAUUAUAACCCCUGACUAACAAGGCAACGCAUCAAUGAUAAAAUGAAUUCUGAAUUUAGC